CUGGCGGCACGCCUAACACAUGCAAGUCGAACGAAGUAGCAAUACUUAGUGGCAGACGGGUGAGUAACAUGUAGGUAUCUGCCCUUUGGCCUGGAAUAACACGGGGAAACUUGUGCUAAUACCGGAUAAGUCUUUACGGAGAAAGCUUUAUGCACCAUUGGAUGAGCCUGCACUUGAUUAGUUUGUUGGUGGGGUAAUGGCCUACCAAGACUGUGAUCAAUAGCUGAUUUGAGAGGAUGAUCAGCCACAUUGGGACUGAGACACGGCCCAAACUCCUACGGGAGGCAGCAGUGGGGAAUCUUGCACAAUGGAGGAAACUCUGAUGCAGCGAUGCCGCGUGAGUGAAGAAGGCCUUUGGGUUGUAAAGCUCUUUCGUCGGGGAAGAAAAUGACUGUACCCGAAUAAGAAGGUCCGGCUAACU
rnacentral:rRNA from 1 species